CAAGUCGAGCGGAGCAGGAAAGUAGCUUGCUACUUUUGCCGGCGAGCGGCGGACGGGUGAUUAAUGCCUGGGGAUCUGCCCAGUCGAGGGGGAUAACUACUGGAAACGGUAGCUAAUACCGCAUACGCCCUACGGGGGAAAGCAGGGGACCUUCGGGCCUUGCGCGAUUGGAUGAACCCAGGUGGGAUUAGCUAGUUGGUGAGGUAAUGGCUCACCAAGGCGACGAUCCCUAGCUGGUCUGAGAGGAUGAUCAGCCACUCUGGAACUGANACACGGUCCAGACUCCUACGGGAGGCAGCAGUGGGGAAUAUUGCACAAUGGGGGAAACCCUGAUGCANCCAUGCCGCGUGUGUGAAGAAGGCCUUCGGGUUGUAAAGCACUUUCAGCGAGGAGGAAAGGUUGGUAGCUAAUANCUGCCNGCUGUGACGUUACUCNCANAAGAAGCACCNGCUAACUCCGUGCCAGC
rnacentral:rRNA from 1 species